GCGAAAGUGGCGGAAUUGGUAGACGCGCGAGAUUUAGGAUCUCGUGGCUUAGGCCGUGGGGGUUCGAGUCCCCCCUUUCGCA
rnacentral:tRNA from 1 species